rnacentral:rRNA from 1 species
AGCAGCCGCGGUAAUUCCAGCUCCAAUAGCGUAUAUUAAAGUUGUUGCAGUUAAAAAGCUCGUAGUUGAAUUUCGGGGUUAGUAGGUUGGUCAUGCCUCUGGUAUGUACUGGUCUCACUGAUUCCUCCUUCCUGACGAACCUUAAUGCCAUUAAUUUGGUGUUUCGGGAAAUUUGGACUGUUACUUUGAAAAAAUUAGAGUGUUUAAAGCAAGCUAACGCUUGAAUACAUUAGCAUGGAAUAAUGAAAUAGGACGUUCGAUCCUAUUUUGUUGGUUUCUAGGAUUGACGUAAUGAUUAAUAGGGAUAGUUGGGGGCAUUAGUAUUCAAUUGUCAGAGGUGAAAUUCUUGGAUUUAUUGAAGACUAACUACUGCGAAAGCAUUUGCCAAGGAUGUUUUCAUUAAUCAAGAACGAAAGUUAGGGGAUCGAAGACGAUCAGAUACCGUCGUAGUCUUAACCAUAAACUAUGCCGACUAGGGAUCGGAUGAUGUUAAUUUUUAAUGACUCAUUCGGCGCCUUAC